GACGAACGCUGGCGGCGUGCCUAAUACAUGCAAGUAGAACGCUGAAGGAGGAGCUUGCUUCCCUGGAUGAGUUGCGAACGGGUGAGUAACGCGUAGGUAACCUGCCUGGUAGCGGGGGAUAACUCUUGGAAACGCUAGCUAAUACCGCAUAAGAGUAGAUGUUGCAUGACAUUUGCUUAAAAGGUGCAAUUGUAUCACUACUAGAUGGUCCUGCGUUGUAUUAGCUAGUUGGUGGGGUAACGGCUUACCAAGGCGACGAUACAUAGCCGGCCUGAGAGGGUGAUCGGCCACACUGGGACUGGGGCACGGCCCAGACUCCUACGGGAGGGAACAAUAAGGGAUCUUCGGCAAUGGACGGAAGUCUGACCGAGCAACGCCGCGUGGGUGAAGAAGGUUUUCGGAUCGUAAAGCUCUGUUGUAAGGGAAGAACGAGUGUGGGAGUGGAAAGUUCACACUGUGACGGUAUCUUACCAGAAAGGGACGGCUAACUACGUG
rnacentral:rRNA from 1 species